AAUCUAGGAGGCAGGUGCUCACUUGUCCUCCUCCAUGCUUAGAAAAUACAGGGAGGAGGCCAGAGUGGCAACUGUCACUACGAUU
rnacentral:pre_miRNA from 1 species